rnacentral:rRNA from 1 species
AUUGAACGCUGGCGACAUGCCUUACACAUGCAAGUCGAACGGCAGCACGGGUGCUUGCACCUGGUGGCGAGUGGCGAACGGGUGAGUAAUACAUCGGAACAUGUCCUGUAGUGGGGGAUAGCCCGGCGAAAGCCGGAUUAAUACCGCAUACGAUCUACGGAUGAAAGCGGGGGACCUUCGGGCCUCGCGCUAUAGGGUUGGCCGAUGGCUGAUUAGCUAGUUGGUGGGGUAAAGGCCUACCAAGGCGACGAUCAGUAGCUGGUCUGAGAGGACGACCAGUCACACGGGGACUGAGACACGGCCCAGACUCCUACGGGAGGCAGCAGUGGGGAAUUUUGGACAAUGGGCGAAAGCCUGAUCCAGCAAUGCCGCGUGUGUGAAGAAGGCCUUCGGGUUGUAAAGCACUUUUGUCCGGAAAGAAAACCUUGGCCCUAAUACGGUCGGGGGAUGACGGUACCGGAAGAAUAAGCACCGGCUAACUACGUG